rnacentral:piRNA from 1 species
GCCCAUUUUGUUCUCAGGAGCCUAUGCCAC